rnacentral:rRNA from 1 species
UACGUAGGGUGCGAGCGUUGUCCGGAAUUACUGGGCGUAAAGAGCUCGUAGGUGGUUUGUCGCGUUGUUCGUGAAAACUCACAACUCAAUUGUGGGCGUGCGGGCGAUACGGGGCAGACUGGAGUACUGCAGGGGGAGACUGGAAUUCCUGGUGUAGCGGUGGAAUGCGCAGAUAUCAGGAGGAACACCGGUGGCGAAAGGCGGGGUCUCUGGGCAGUAACUGACGUGGAGGAGCGAAAAGCGUGGGGGAGCGAAACAGGGA